AGUGUCUUCGAAAAAGUCCGUUAGCAUCUAUCUUAGCAGUUUUCAGAAAAGGCUGAUUUACUGAAUCGAUGACGUCACUUACACUGAGAGUGUAACGUUAAUCGGCUGAAAACAAGUUCACAUGAGUUUUGAUAUUUCAUGAUAAACAGAUAUUAAUACAAAUUGUUCUGUGAUUUCAGGUGGACAGAAAGAAACUAUACAGAACAAAGUGAAACUCCAAGAUUUUUGAAAAGAAAAUUGUAUCUCCCUUCAGAAAUGUGGCUGAAGGGAGAUACUGACUUAGAAAUACAGGUGAACUCAUGAAAAGAAGCUCAUGAAAGAAGCUCAUGAAAUACAUUAAUAUGCCUUUUUCAGAAUAUAUUUCGCCAAAUUUAAGAAGUCCCUGACAUCAAAACAUGGCUUGUUUUGUUCCUGGACUCUUCAGUGAUGAUGAGCAGAGUCUGAGUGAACCUCCUGUCAGACAAUCACUAUUGCACACCAAAUGCUCUUACUCAGCAGAUGGGGACAGCUACCAUCACCCAAUUUUCACCCAAAAGUGGCUGCGCUACUCGCCAGACUGGGCAGGAGGGACUGGACGACAACUUAUGCAGGCAUCAGAUGACAAUGAAAUGUAAAUAAAGAGUAGAGAAGCUAAUAAACAUGAAUUUGAUUUUAAA